GCAGACACAUUCCAGCCAAUCAGCAGCAGACCCUCCCUCCCAGACCCUCCCACCUUCCUGGACAGCAUCCAUUUUGAAGCUGCAUUCUUAGUGAGCUGUCCAGGAGGUGGGAGGGUCUGGGAGGGAGGGUCUGCUGCUGAUUGGCUGGAAUGUGUCUG